CACUGACUCUCUCUGCCGUUGAUCAUGAUACCUGCGUGUUGAUGAUCGUGGAAAGGCAGGGUGCGAUCGUCACUUUACCAUUCUCUUCCUCCCCUUUCUCUCUCCCUCAGAUCCCAUCUGCUCACCUAAAAUCCCCAGAUCGAACAUUCUCCAUCUCAAAUAAAAAAACUUUCCCCCUUCAAAACCCAUAGAAUCAGCACUCAUGGAAUAAUCAUGGAUUUUUGUUGAGUCGACCUUCUGGUGAUAAAAUCGUGAUGUGACCAUCGUAUUCUCUCUCACGGCUCACAACGAUGAAAUCGCACAGGACUUCGUUGAUUUUUGUCAACUCCGACCACGACCAGUGUCAUUAUGAUUAGACGAUUCGGAUGCGCCUAAUAAACAAACCUAAUUUGCCUCGCGCGUUCAAUCAUCUCCUUCCUUCGUCUAAAACCUCACACAGAGACAGAGAUACCCCAAAACCCUAAACGCCCAAAGUAUUAAUCACAAAGUUACGGAGCUGAAAUUGCAAACGCUAUCAUGGCUGCCUUAAAAAAUAAGAAGAACGUGUUUGUGAAGUCAGUUUCGACGAAGAAGCAGGCUAAUAUGGACCAUAUCACAGGGGAUAAAAUCCCAAUGAGGUUUGUGUUUUCCAGAUGCAAGUUGCCUGGUCCUCUAAAGCAGCUUCAAGCUGAUUUGAGGAAACUGGUGCUUCCCUACACUGCCUUUAAGCUUAAGGAGAAGAGGCGGAACAAUCUUAGAGACUUUUUUAAUGUGGCUGGGCCUAUGGGGGUUACACAUUUCCUCAUGUUGUCGAAAACUCCAAUUGCGCCAUACCUUAGGGGUGCAGAUCCUGAUUUACAAGGAAGAACAGAAACGGAUAUAACAACAGUGAGACCGAAUGGGAGAUCCAAUGAAAACAAACAGCAAUGGAUAAACCGAGGCCGGUAGAUUUCAACUGCCUCACAACCGCCGCCAGAGAGGUCUGAUUGUCCAGAGCGCUGCCUCUUCCUCCGCCAACACCGCUGUGUCAGAUGUUAAGCUGUAGCUCUAGGAGGACCACAGCAAUGGCUUCAAUCCCAUCCUCCACUUUUGCUUCUGGAUCGACUUGGGAAAGAACAGAGGAGAGCACAAGCAUUAUCAAUUUAUUUGCUAUAGAGUUUGUCAGGGAGAAAGUUCGUGAACGAUAGAAAUCUAAUCGAGAGGGCUGGAUGAAAAGAAACAUCCAUCAGAGCUUUCAACAACUCGAAGGGAGUACAUACUUUGUAUGCCAUGGAUAGGGAAUGGAUACGUAAUUAGAUCAAUUGAUGGGUGCUGCUGUUUUGGAUAUCUACAUCCAGCAAUACCUGUUCGAAGCUUGAAUCUCACCAAGCUUCAGUUAUUGUUUCAAAGGGUGAAAAAGAGUGGGGGACACAAGAAGAGGGGAGAAAGAGGACAAAAGAAUGGUUUGUUCUACUUUCAAUGCUUUGGGUUAAAAAAAGAAAAAAGAGCAUGUGGUGUGGAAACACACCAGCGAAGCCUCACUUUCGAUGUCGAACUCAAGUGUGGCUCUAAUCUAGCCCCCGAAAUUCCAACCUAGCAUGUAGCAAUGCAUUAUGUUUUCCUGUGUGAUCUUCAUACAAAGGUGCAAGACAUAUGAGCUUCUAAUCAAGAAAGACCUGCUUUUAAAUCCCACUGUGUGUUCUAAGUGCUGGAUGGGUUGUGCUUUUACCAACCCUAAUAAAAUUAUAUUUGAAUCAUGCUGUCUGAUAACUCUUUUUCUUUUUUUCCUGUUUGUGGUUUUUAGUCUUUGUCAUUUAAUUGGUAUAGCUUUGCUAGGAUCUCUGUUCCGGCAGUGUGUGAUUAGUGCUAAUGGAAUUUCAGCACUGUUUCUGAGCUAUUGCUCGAAUUGUUGUAUCUAAGUAUGCAUUAUACAUUCAAUUGAGCCAAUGAAGCAUGUGUGCCAACGAAUUUUGAAGAGUUCGGCUGGGUUUUCUCUCUUUGGUCUUUAAUAUUUAUGUGUGAGACACCUGUUUGUUGACUAAUUGAGUCCAUUCUCUUAAGUUUUUCAGUAGAUAUUGUGUAAUUUGCUUUUAUGAGCACUUCUUUAAGCUGUCAAGUUCCCAAAGUGUACAAGGAGAUAUCAAGUUUAACAAGUCACAAACUAUGAUCAAUCCAAAUACAAUGAAAUUAUUGAUUUUACACUUAUAAACUUAGUUAGCUUUAGACCAUAGGAUUAGCAUUUUGCGCAUGUGAGUAUCAUUGACCUGCUCAUUUUAUUUUUCUGGAUAAGAAACAAAUUGUCAUUGAAGGGAGAAGAAAGUGUACAAAAACAAAGUUUCUGUAAGCUUGCAUUCAUAUGCCUAAUAUUUUAAUUUC